rnacentral:rRNA from 1 species
AUUGAACGCUGGCGGCAUGCUUUACACAUGCAAGUCGAGCGGCAGCGCGGGGGCAACCCUGGCGGCGAGCGGCGAACGGGUGAGUAAUACAUCGGAACGUAUCCCGUAGUGGGGGAUAACCCGGCGAAAGCCGGGCUAAUACCGCAUAUGCUCUACGGAGGAAAGUGGGGGACCUGUGAGGGCCUCACGCUAUGGGAGCGGCCGAUGUCCGAUUAGCUAGUUGGUGGGGUAAAGGCCUACCAAGGCGACGAUCGGUAGCUGGUCUGAGAG